UUUUUUACCCUUUCCAAAUAUAAAAUUGCAUUUUACAUUAAAUAGGCUUUUUGGAUAAUAUAUGGCAAUUCUGAUGCUCUGGGAACUGCAAAGUACUACUAAGCUUGUUAAAACUCUGAGUGAAGUAAGAGUAAGUAGGCUCUAAAUCAAGGCCAGACACGGUUUCCUGGGGUGAAAAACGCACCUGUGUUUGUGUAUGGUUAUUGGUAUAAUGAAUUUGGCUCUCCGAUUUCUGAUUUUUUACAUAUUCUUCAUUGAGGGAGUUAUCACAUAAAUGUUACUGAACUUUAGGUCUGAGUGAAAGUCAAUUUUUGUUAUCUGUGAGAAACAAUAGCUAUCUUAAAAAUUUUGUUUGAGAAGAGGCAAGAAACUUGGGAUGACCUGAAAAACGCUGGAACAUUUGGAAAAUGCAUGCUAUCCUAUCUGUAGCUAUUUCUAAGUAUUUCAUGAUCAGUUUGCAAUUUGACAUCAAAUUCUGAGUGUAAUGCUUAGCUGACCUAACCCGAGAGCUGUAUCCGCUGGAUUUUUGCUGUACGUGGUCAAAUGUAAUUAAACAGAAGGCCUUCUGUAGUGGCCCUUGCUUUGAACAGUAGCAGUAUACAAGUCCCAUCUCUGUAGUGGGCCUCUGCAUUUUUAGAGUAAAUGAGCUACUUGACUUAGCCUUCUCUCUCCCAUCUUCCCAUAGAUUCAAGUCUCUCCUAUCAAAAACCAAUUUAGACUUACAUUCAGAGGAGACACUUCAAAUGGGAUUGUAGGAAACAUAUGUAUAUGUGCAUAUCUGCAGGAACUGUUUGCUCAAAGAAUUGGCCAUUAUGAAUUUUAGCUACUGCCCAACUGUUCUUCAAGACCUUUUUAUGAAUUCCUACUUUCACAAAGGCAAAUCCGCCCGCCGUACAAACUAUUGGGACUUCCUGGCUGAUUGUGGUGUGGAUGUUGUAAGUACCAAUCUGCUGUGUGCUUCCCCGCUCCUUCUUCUGUUCCUCUUUAUCCCCGCUCCUUGUUCUCUUCCCCUUUAUCAAUAAACUCUGAUUGCUUAAACAACCAAA